GACGAACGCUGGCGGCGUGCUUAACACAUGCAAGUCGAACGGUAAGGCCCUUCGGGGUACACGAGUGGCGAACGGGUGAGUAACACGUGGGUGAUCUGCCCUGCACUUCGGGAUAAGCCUGGGAAACUGGGUCUAAUACCGGAUAGGACUCCUGGCUUCAUGGUUGGGGGUGGAAAGCUUUUGCGGUGUGGGAUGGGCCCGCGGCCUAUCAGCUUGUUGGUGGGGUAAUGGCCCACCAAGGCGACGACGGGGAGCCGGUCUGAGAGGGUGACCGGUCACAAUGGGACUGAGAUACGGCCAAGACUCCUACGGGAGGCAGCAGUGGGGAAUAUUGCACAAUGGGCGCAAGCCUGAUGCAGCGACGCCGCGUGAGGGAUGACGGCCUUCGGGUUGUAAACCUCUUUCAGCUAUGACGAAGCGCAAGCGACGGUAGUAGCAGAAGAAGGACCGGCCAACUACGUGCCAGCCGCCGCCGUAA
rnacentral:rRNA from 1 species